rnacentral:rRNA from 1 species
UACGUAGGGGGCGAGCGUUGUCCGGAUUUAUUGGGCGUAAAGAGCGUGUAGGCGGUUCGGUAAGUCUGUCGUGAAAUCCUGAGGGCUCAACCUCGGGCGUGCGAUGGAUACUGCCGGGCUAGAGGAUGGUAGAGGCGAGUGGAACUCCUGGUGUAGCGGUGGAAUGCGCAGAUAUCAGGAAGAACACCAAUAGCGAAGGCAGCUCGCUGGGACGGUAUGACGCUAAGGCGCGAAGCGUGGGAGC